rnacentral:misc_RNA from 1 species
UCGCCCCAUAUCGCCGCUGUCGCUGUUCGAGCUUUAUCUCCUCUCACACAAACGGACGCAUGUGCACACUAUCACCGGCACCAUGAUCACCCUCACAUUGGCUGCCAUUGAUUCUCUUCACUUAGUCCCUGAUAAUGCCGGCCACCUCACCGCGGUAUCGCAGGGCCCAGUGCCCCACGCUCCUUACGGGGAAGCCAAGAGACCGCAGCCUGCCCGCGGGCGCUAGUUGCGGGCUUGUCGUGUCGGCGGACAGGUCUGGGCUGGUGGUGCGCCGGAGAGACUUGCGGCCAUGAUGAUCACGCGUGCAGCAGCUCACUAAGACACGUGUCGACGAUCCGACAAACAUACGCAGCCGUCUUUGGCUUUUGUGCUCUGGCGGCGUUGCGGUGAUGUCGAGCGUGACCGUGGACCUAGCGUGCUCUGUAUGCAGUGGCGUUGCGGUGGGCUGAUCGGCACCAAACAGUGCUAGCUGACCCCGACUACCUUGACAUAGCGGCAGUGCAGCAGGGUUAGGUGAACCAUGCUGGCGCAUGCGUACAUAGCUGCUGACGUGUUCGUGAUGGAUCGGUCGCGUUGAAAGGCGCACGGUCCUUUCAGUGAACCACCCUGCCUCCUCCACUCACACUCUCACUCCCCUGCCUGUCCUCCUCAUCUUCCGUUCGCGGCCACUCGUCUUUCUGUCCUUCGGCGACCACCGCCACCACCUCUAUCCCACACCUGGGGCCGGGAAAG